rnacentral:tRNA from 1 species
AAGAAUAUAACUCAAUUGGAUAGAGAGAAGGUAUAAAGACCUUUGGUUAUAGGUUCAAAUCCUAUUAUUCAAA